AUGGCGUCCCAGCUGGUUGAGAGCCACCGUGCCGGCGCCGAGGUCCACAAGGGGAACGAUAUCUGCAAGAAGAAGACCGUCGAGCUUCUCGAAGAGCUUGGCCUCCCGGGGGGCCUCUUUCCUAUGGAUGACAUCGAGGAGAAAAAGACCGUCUCCUACGACACUGAGGUGGCCGCUUUUGUGGAGAAGGGCAAGAUGAAGAAGGUCACCGGGGUCAAGAUCGAGGACCUGUACUCUUUGGUCGAGGUCUAUGUGGAUGAGUCUUCUGCUGAUGAGGUUACCAUCAAGACCGACAACGGCCUCUUUCUUAUGGAUGACAUCGAGGAGGUUAGGCACAACUGUGAGAGUGGGUUUGUGUGGAUGCUUCAGAAGAAGAAGAACGAGCACAUGUUCAACAAGCUCAACCAGACCGUCUCCUACGAUACUGAGGUGACCGCUUUUGUGGAGAAGGGCAAGAUGAAGAAGGUCACCGGGGUCAAGAUCGAGGACCUGUACUCUUUGGUCGAGGUCUAUGUGGAUGAGUCUUCUGCUGAUAAAGUUACCAUCAAGACCAACACCGGUCUGUCUGACACCCGUGAUGCGGCCGUGUUCGCUCUUGGGGAAUAG
rnacentral:rRNA from 1 species